rnacentral:lncRNA from 1 species
CCAUUCGGAGAUGGACCAAGGGCGUGCAUAGGUAAACGCUUAGGAGUUUUAACCGUAGCUGCAUGUCUCUCACAUAUUCUAUUAAAAUUUAAUAUUGAGAAAUGUGAAGAUACUCCUGAUCCAGUUAAAUUUGAAACGAAAUCAUUUGUCCUACAGUCAAAAUGCGGACUUCCAAUAAAAUUUUCUCGUUUAUCAUAAUAUAUUGGAAAUAUAUGCAAUUUUUACAAAAAAA